GUAGUCCACGCCCUAAACGAUGUCUACUAGUUGUCGGGUCUUAAUUGACUUGGUAACGCAGCUAACGCGUGAAGUAGACCGCCUGGGGAGUACGGUCGCAAGAUUAAAACUCAAAGGAAUUGACGGGGACCCGCACAAGCGGUGGAUGAUGUGGAUUAAUUCGAUGCAACGCGAAAAACCUUACCUACCCUUGACAUGGAUGGAAUCCCGGAGAGAUUUGGGAGUGCCCGAAAGGGAACCAUCACACAGGUGCUGCAUGGCUGUCGUCAGCUCGUGUCGUGAGAUGUUGGGUUAAGUCCCGCAACGAGCGCAACCCUUGUCAUUAGUUGCUACGAAAGGGCACUCUAAUGAGACUGCCGGUGACAAACCGGAGGAAGGUGGGAACUCAAGGGAGACUGCCGGUGAUAAACCGGA
rnacentral:rRNA from 1 species